AUAGAAAUCAAUUACUGAAAUAAAUUGCGAAAGACCAUAAAUAGCAAACUAUCUAAAUACAUCCCCGAAUAUGGUGUCACAAGUGCACAAGCUACUAGAAUAAUACAAAUAAAGGUCUGAAUAAAAUUCAAGCUAUUUGAAAGAUAAUACACAGCUGAGAUAAAAUAGAAGGUGACUUCAGAACUGCGAACGCUGUGCAAUUAUAUCUCAAGUCUCUUCUGAGUAGCUGAAUCCGAGCACGUCUAUGGUAUGCUACUGGGACCAACUCCAAAAUCUACAUAAGAAGUGCAAAGUAUAGUAUCAGUACAACCGACCCCAUGUACUAGUAAAUGCUGAGCCUAACCUCUACGAAGUAGUGACAAGUCUAUGACAAGACACGUACAUAAACAAUCUGUACAAGUAUAUACAAAUACAAAGUAACAAUUAUACAAUAAAUAACAAUUUAUAAAUUGGGAGGAAACAUGCGAAAGGGAAUGAUAUAAUAAUUUCAGUAAGAGAAGUAUCACUUAGCAGCCAAUUGAUUUAUCAACAAUAAAAUGAGCAAAUGAUAAUAUGAAAAUGGCACGGCACCACCCUUCGUGCUUUUACUCUCAUUUGGCACGGCAUCACCCUUCGUGCUUUUACACUCUCUGAAAAUGACACGGCAACACCCUUCGUGCUUUUACACUCUUUCUUACCAUGACAAUGAUAUUAUGAAUAAUUAAAAUGGCACGACAUCACCCCUUCGUGCUUUUACACUCUUUCUUAUCAUGAAAAUAAUAAUAUAAAUUUGGAAGAGUAUUUAAAUGCGGGGAUAUACAUUUAUAAAUCAAUUCAAUACCAAAAUACCGACUUCACCUUCCAAAAUAUUCAACAAUAAUUAAAUGAAUAAUAAUUUCACGAAUAAUGAUCAAAUAAUCAAUAAUAAACUUAAGCAGGAAUAUCUUAAUUAAAUAGAUAAUUAUUCACAAUAAACAAAUUUCACCCGCAUGCUUUGACUCAACCACAAGGCAUAAGUACUCGUCACUUCACAUAUACGUUAUACCCGCACAUUAAAUCAUGUAGCAAAUAGACAAUUAAGUCCUACUCCCUCAAGUCAAGGUUAACCACGACACUUACCUCGCUUUACAACCAAAUUCAAGAAUUCAAUAAACCUUUGCCUCGCGAAUUCGUGUCUGAAAUCCUCAAAUCUAGUCAUAAAUAAUUCAAUAUAUUCAAUACAAAUCGUAGAAAUUAGUUUCAUAUGAAUUUGCUAAUUUUUCGGAUUAAAAUCCGAAAUUCAUCUCAAAAAUCUUCAGUGGGGCCCACCUCUCACAUCUCAGAAAAACUUACGAAAUCUGAACACCCGUUCCGAGACGAGUCCAACCAUAUAAAAUUUACCAAUUUUCGAUGUAAAAUAGACCUUUAAAUCUUAAUUUUUUAUUUUUGGAAAGUUUUACAAAAGUUCCAAUUUCUUCUAUCUAAUCCGAAAUAAAUGAUGAAUAUUGACAUAAAUUUAUGAAAUAUAAUCACUUUCAGAUAUAGAAUACUUACCCAAGUCGAAAUCGUGAAAAAUUCCUUUGAAAUCGCCUAAUUUCGUGCUUGAAAUAUCUAAAAAUGGAAAAGAUCUCGGACUCUUCGAUUUAUACACUGCCCAGGGAUUUUCGCAUCUGCGGUCUUGCAUUUGCGGAGCAAGGCUGCCCAGCAGAGGACCGCAUCUGCGGACCUUCACGUCGCAGAUGUGAUUGCGCAUAAGCGUGAAAGAAGCCGCAGAAGCGAGACCUGCGCAUUUUGCGAUCUCUCAGCCACAGAAGCGAUCUCGCACUUGCGGCCAAAAUUGUGCAGGUGCGACACACAAGAACCAGACCUGUAAUUUUUACAAAAAUGGUCUGAAACUCGUCCGAAACUCACCCGAACCCCUUGGGACAUCGUCCAGUUAUACCGACCAGUCCCGUAACAUAACACGGACUUACUUGGGGCCUCAAAUCACAUCAAAUAACAUCAAAAUUAUAAUUCAUAUUUCGAUUCGAACUUUUGAGUUUCAAACUUUUCAAUUUACAAAACUUGUGCCGAAACACGUUAAAUGAACCCGGAAUGACUUUAAAUUUGGCACACAAGUCAUAAAUGACAUAACAGAUCUAUUUAAAUUUUCGGAAUCGAAUUCUGUCCCCGAUAUCAAAAAGUCAAAUCCGUGGUCAAACUUUUGGAAAUCUUUAGCCUUUAAAUUACUAGUUUUCGCUAAAUGGUCAUAAUUUGAGCUAAGGACCUCCAAAUCAAAUUUCGGGCAUACGCCCAAGCCCCAAAUCACGAUACCAACCUACCGCAACUAUCAAAAUACUGAUCUGGGCCAUUUGCUAAAAAUAUUGACCAAAGUUAACUUAAUUGAGUUUAAAGCUCUAUUUCACAUUUUAAUCCAUUUUUCACAUAAAAAUUUUUCGAAAAGUUAUACGGACUGUGCACGUAAGUCGAAGAAUGAUAAAUAGUACUUUUUGAGGUCUUAGAACACAGAAUUAAUUAUUUAAUUUAAAGAUGACCUUUUGGGUCAUCACAAUCACUAUGUAACAACGAGCCCUAUUUAUAAGUAUACACAAUACAUAAUCUACUCUUAUUACAUAUGGGACUAGGACUAAUUAUAUAUAUUUACAUAAUUAUCUAACAACUUCUUCAUUACUUCUAAAUCUAAAGGGGAAUAAUAUAACACACUUUACACCAACAAUGUGGCGAUCAACGAAAAAACAGUUCCAUGAAUUGUUUUCAUUAAAUUCUUUCAGCUUCUAAGCAUGGGAAUAUGAGGAACUAUAAUUCCACUAAAUAAUAUUUUAUAAUUUGUUUUACCAAAUAGCUGGCCCCAACAUGCUUGGGAUUGUGGUGUAGCAACGUUGUAUUAGUGCCAAAUACUUAAAAAUACACAACACUCAUUCUCUAGAAAGCUAAUGAGGAGAGCUGGAACUUCCCCAAAAACAUAAACACGACUGAAGCCAAAGAUACCUGUUCUGCCAAAUGUGGUAUCCAAUAACAUUCUACUUUGUGCUAUUCUUUAUAAACUAAGGGGGCUCACGAAAAUAAUACUAGUAGGUCCUACACAAAAUAGUUGGAAUAGGAUUAUUCACUCAAUAUGGCUACUAAAUUAAACACUAUUUACAAUUACAAGAUGAUUGAUCAAAUAUAAUGCUAUUACCAUGCCGUUAGACGCUUGCCACUCCUUUAGAUUAGGUGGAGCAUUUUUAUCACAGUGAGAAGAAUAUACAAAUGGAUAGAUAUUAUUAUCCUAUCCUAAAGCUCUCAAAGCACAUAGACCAAGUAACUAGAUAAAACAAGUUUUUGCUUCCCAUACUUGGAGUUUAGAAGCCAGUACUUCAGAGGUUUGAGAAUAAGCUAGAAUGUUGGUAGAAAAGUCUUCUCAAUAAGCGGAGCAAAUUGGCAUUGAUUAGUAGCACGCUCUCAAGCUUGCCAACAUAUUAUGUUUCAGAUGUAGACCAUAAUAUAGUGUCGCGAAAAAUUAAGUUUAAAAAUUGUGUGAUUUUUUAUGCAAGUUUAUUUUUAUGUUUUGUCACCAAUUUAAGCCUUUAUAUCUUUUAUAAGUGUUAAUUUUAGUUUCCAAUACCUACAUUUUACAGCCUUCUUUAAGAAUUUCAUAUUUGCAAGCAUUUUUCUGAUAAUUUCAGAAUUCUUGCAGUUCUGCAAGAAACAAAUUUUGUUUGUUUAGUAGUAUAGAAAGAGUUUUAUUAAUUUGAGGUUGCUUUUGUUGAAAUGGACUUUACUUUUUACUAAAUUUGGGGAAUACUUUUUAGAAUAGGAUUAGGUCUUUUGUGGAAAGAGGAGAAUUAAAAAGUAUAACAUGGAUACUCAAGACCAUUCACCAGUAAGACUAGGGGGAGAGGGUGAGAGACAAGAGGGUAUUCAGCAAGCGUUUGUUGGGUCAAUGGAUGAAGAGGUACGGGAUGAAGUGUUUGACUGAGGGUAUUCAAAAUAUAAAGUUGUAGAUAAACUUAAAACUACAACUUAAAAAACAAAUAAAAUCUUAUUCAAAACCAUGAGCUGGUAGAUCAGUAGAUGGAGGCUUAGGAGCAUGUAUCUCUACAUUACUCCAUAAAUAUUGCAUUUAUGACCAGUAUGGGAGAUAGAGGAGAUGAAAGAAUCCUUGACUCUUCUAUACUCCAUAUUAUAGUUGUUUAACUUUUCAUGUUGAUAGUUGUUUGGAGUUGUGGAAGAAUAUGAGCAUCAAACCCCAAAACUUAAUUCAAUGAAUAGACUGGCUCAAUAUUAACCCUUAAACAACUAAUAUUGAGGGCCAAGUGUAUGCUCUAACAUAACAUCCUCCCGCAUAUGUAACCUAGCUCUAGGGUUUACAAGUGGAUAUUUGAAGACUUGUUUUCCCCAUUUUUAAAGAAGACGGAAGGAUGGACCUAAAGUAGAGAGGGAGCAUCUGACGAGUAGGCCUAACCUGAGGAAGAGACGGUACGUUCAUCAGGCUGAAGAGUAGGCUUAGAGCAAAGAGAGUGAGUAGGUUCAAUAGGUUAAAAGAUGAGCUUGGAUCAAAGUUAGGGCUUAAUAGGCUGAAUUGAGAAAGAGAGGUAGAGAGAAGCCCAAAGCCAGCCACAGUCAAUAGAAUAGUAUAGAGAAAGGUUGAGAAAAUUAGCUUACUAAAAUUUGAAUCUAAUACCAUGUCAAAGAAUCUGCAUAUCCAAUCCCAAAACUGUGAGGCAAUGGGUUGACUUGUCCACGAUAUUAUAAACCCUUACACAACUAGUGAGAGACAAGUGUGUGCUCUAACAUGAGUGACAAUUUAAUAGCCGUGAACUUAAAGAAAGAAAGAGAAUCAUGUGGAAGUGCUUUAUGUGAAGAGAGGUAGUGGCUGCAAUGACCAUUUUCUCAUUCAUUGCGUAGUUUGUGACAAUGUUAUGGAGUUGAGACACAUUUCUUAGUUAAUAGAUAUGAAGGAAAUGAACCGUCACUGGAAUCAGGGGUCAGGAUGGAAGUUGAAUAUCUUCGACAAGAGAGGAAGAAUGAUUCGUCCUGCAUUGAGAAAUUAGAAACAACUUUACAAUACAUACUAAACAGGACUCCUUUUUUUGAUAAGUUAUAGACAUACUUCAUCAACCCAGACUUGGAUUCAUGUCUCCUUAUAAUUCAUGGAUAUCGUGGUACGAGCCUAUAGAACAGAUCCUGUUCAAGUAAGGUCAUAUAUACUAAACAGGACUCUCAUUGACACUACGAGGUUUUUGGUAUUUGGUUCAUCUUUACUCAUAUUUUUCCAAGCCCAGUAAGAUUAAGUAUCACCUCUAAUCUAAGAGAACCUCAUACAACAUCGGUUAGUAAACAUACAAAGAGGCUAUUCUAAAGAAUAUCAAUAACAAUAUCUCUUUUGAAAUAAGUGCGCAACAAGGGAAAAAAGAACUCAUAAUGACAAGUAUUUACCUUUCUGAAGACAGAAGAUUCCACACAAGCCACAUCAACACCAAGAAUAUGCCCUUCCAUACUUCACAAAAUUAUUAAAGGAGACAUAAUAUGCAUCUUAGGAUUUUUAGCAUAGUGAAAAUCGUACUGCACAGAGAGGGAUAAUUUUUUUUGUGUGUGUGUAUUAACUUUUGAAUCCUCUUAUAGUGGCAAAGGUAAUUCAAAAGUUAUUUUAGGUCACAAAGUUUGAAUUUUUUGAAUCCCGAUACUAGAAUAUCUGGCACAACCGCUGUUAAAAAAAACAUAGGCAGAUCCAACAUUAAGACAACAGAUAUAGACACACGACUGCCCUCUGCACUAAAUAUACAUACUUAUAAUUGCAAAAAAAAAGGAUACAAUCUUUAUAUUAAUCAUGCACCCAUUGUAAACAAAAAUAUAGUAGGUGAAAUGUGUCUGCGUGUGUAUUGCUGUGCACCCAUUAAAUCCACCUAAAGCUAGAUUUUACAAUAAAUAUUUGAUUUUUCAAUAAAAUCUUGAUAAAACCCCAAAAGGGUUUGUGAAGAAAUACCAUUAGAAUCAGAAAGUGGAGAACCCAAGCGACCAAGAGAAGCAACAGAACGCAAAAGCCUCCUUGAAAUGGACAAAGCCAUGCUCCAGAUUUAGCACAACAGUCUUUUAAUUGGUGUUUGAGCCUUUAGAGGAUCUCCGACCCUCCCCAUUUUUCCAUAACGGGGGCAAUUUUUGCCACAAUGGAGCUCCAAUGCUUCCCCAUUUUUGCCUCCAAAGUGGGGGAUGAGUAGUAAUCCAAAUAUGGGGUGACACUAUUCAUCUCAUCC
rnacentral:lncRNA from 1 species